UCGUAACAAGGUUUCCGUAGGUGAACCUGCGGAAGGAUCAUUACUGAUUUGCUUAAUUGCACCACAUGUGUUUUGUUUUGGACAAACUUGCUUUGGCGGUGGGCCCCUGCCUGCCGCCAGAGGACAUAAACUUACAACCAAAUUUUUUAUAAACUUGUCACGAGAUUAUUUUUAAUAGUCAAAACUUUCAACAACGGAUCUCUUGGUUCUCGCAUCGAUGAAGAACGCAGCGAAAUGCGAUACGUAAUAUGAAUUGCAGAUAUUCGUGAAUCAUCGAAUCUUUGAACGCACAUUGCGCCCUCUGGUAUUCCGGAGGGCAUGCCUGUUUGAGCGUCGUUUCUCCCUCAAACCCCCAGGGUUUGGUGUUGAGCAAUACGACUUGGGUUUGCUUGAAAGAUGAUAGUGGUAAGGCGGAGAUGCUUGACAAUGGCUUAGGUGUAACCAAAAACAUUGCUAAGGCGGUCUCUGGCGUCGCCCAUUUUAUUCUUCAAACUUUGACCUCAAAUCAGGUAGGACUACCCGCUGAACUUAAGCAUAUCAAUAAGCGGAGGAA
rnacentral:misc_RNA from 1 species